ACCAAUUGAUAAUGAAGAAAGUGGACUGAGCACAGCCUAACUCAAACCCAGGAUCAAAUAAAUAUCUAUAUUGUAGAAUGUACGACCAGGAAUUACUCAGAGAAUCAAGACAGAUGUUCACACCACCAAGAGUCACAGAACAUAUUCUUCACUGUCAUCUUUGUCACACAAGAAACAUGGAACCAUCAGGAAGAUAAGGAAACCUUGGCUGAGACCCACAACAUCAAAAGGAGCCAAAGCAGAGAAGUGGGAGUAGGGAGAGGAGUGGAGCUUUGAAAGGUACGUUCUGCCAUUCAGCUAUGUGUGCCCCUGGAUUUAGCCCCAUCUCUCCGACCCUGAGGGACCAUGUCCACCAGCUCAGAGGAGGCCAGUGGCAGGGCCCGUCCCUUGGAAAACAGAACACUCAGGGAAGCUCCUGGAAGAACAGGACCCAGACACUACCCAGAGAAUGAAGCUGGAGGGGCCUGGGAAAAGGUUUGACCCAGCAGGAGCCUCUGGGUUGCACUACCAAUAGCAGCUGGAUUGGGAGGUGGGACUCCAGGUCCAACUGUGGACACAUCGUUUUUUUAAUUUAUUCAUUUUAAUUUGAGGUUAAUUACUUUUGCACAUCAUUUAACAUUUCUCAGAUUCAUCUAUGCAGUGAAUGCUGCCCAUUCUCCCUCACAAAGGGACUGGUGAAGGCAUCAAGGGGUAGUGGGUAUGAAAGCACUUUGUUAAUGUACACCCUAUCACAGCUUCACCAUCACUGUCAGGGAUCAUGUGGCCUUGGGCCCUGGUACUCUGUUUCCAAUAUCCCAAUUGUGUCCCCUUAAAGGGAUACUGCAGUCAGCCUCCUGUAAUACCCCUAUGCCCUGGCUUCCUCACCAUGACCCAGUUUGCUGAUUUCCAGCUUGCAGAGGUUGCCUGGAACGACUGGAAGAGGUCUGGGAUGUGACAACGCUUCUGCAAAGGUAGAGAAUCAUCCCCUUCUCUCCUCAGUGGUGGUUCUUUCCAGAGCCUAUGGUGUGACCGCAGGG